AGCACGUUUCUUAGAUCCAUCUCUGCUAAUCAUAAGAGAUGCUUGAGUCAUUGACGUGCCAGAAUACGCAAUACCUACUUUUCAGUUUUAUUUACUGCCCCUCAUUUUUGGUUGAAUGAUUUAUGCGAAAAUGAAUUGUAUGCAUUAAAUACACUGACGAGUGGACAUU